rnacentral:rRNA from 1 species
UACGUAGGGUGCAGGCGUUAAUCGGAAUUACUGGGCGUAAAGCGUGCGCAGGCGGUUUGCUAAGACAGGUGUGAAAUCCCCGGGCUUAACCUGGGAAUGGCAUUUGGGACUGCAAGGCUUGAGUGCGGCAGAGGAGACUGGAAUUCCUGGUGUAGCAGUGAAAUGCGUAGAUAUCAGGAGGAAUACCGAUGGCGAAGGCAGGUCUCUGGGCUGACACUGACGCUCAUGCACGAAAGCGUGGGGAGCAAACAGG